rnacentral:rRNA from 1 species
AGCAGCCGCGGUAAUUCCAGCUCCAAUAGCGUAUAUUAAAGUUGCUGCAGUUAAAAAGCUCGUAGUUGAAUUUCGGGACCAUCAUGUCGGUCGUGCCUCGGUACGUACUGGCAUUGUUGGUUUCUACCUUCUGACGAACCAUGAUGUCAUUUAUUUGGUGUCGUGGGAAAUCAGGACUGUUACUUUGAAAAAUUAGAGUGUUUAAAGCAGGCUCACGCUUGAAUACAUUAGCAUGGAAUAAUGAAAUAGGACGUUUGAUUCUAUUUUGUUGGUUUCUAGGAUCGACGUAAUGAUUAAUAGGGAUAGUUGGGGGCAUUAGUAUUCAAUUGUCAGAGGUGAAAUUCUUGGAUUUAUUGAAGACUAACUACUGCGAAAGCAUUUGCCAAGGAUGUUUUCAUUAAUCAAGAACGAAAGUUAGGGGAUCGAAGACGAUCAGAUACCGUCGUAGUCUUAACCAUAAACUAUGCCGACUAGGGAUCGGAUGAUGUUAAUUUUUAAUGUACUCAUUCGGUCCG